UUGAAUUUCAUACACGAACUAAUAAAAUUAGGCUAAAUCAUGCAUUGACCAAUUCUUCCUUAGUCAAACGUUUAUAAAUAAUGACGUGUCAUUAACGGAAACUUACGUGUCGCUGAGCUGUCUAUUACAAUUAAAAAUAAAUAAUUAUAAAAGAAAAAUAUUUUGUCAAAAUGGGAUGUUUUGGGAUUUCGAACCCUGGAUGUCUCAGUGACUACUCUAAGCCUCAACCAC
rnacentral:lncRNA from 1 species